CACGUAGGGUGCGAGCGUUGCCCGGAAUUAUUGGGCGUAAAGAGCUCGUAGGCGGUGUGUCGCGUCGGCCGUGAAAACCUGCAGCUUAACUGUGGGCGUGCGGUCGAUACGGGCAUCACUGGAGUUCGGCAGGGGAGACUGGAAUUCCUGGUGUAGCGGUGAAAUGCGCAGAUAUCAGGAGGAACACCGGUGGCGAAGGCGGUUCUCUGGGCCUUACCUGACACUGAGGAGCGAAAGCGUGGGGAGCGAACAGG
rnacentral:rRNA from 1 species